UCCCAUGAUGUGUUCUGUUAUGGCUGAGG
rnacentral:piRNA from 1 species